GUUGAACGCUGGCGGCAGGCCUAACACAUGCAAGUCGAGCGGAUGAAGGGAGCUUGCUCCUGGAUUCCGCGGCGGACGGGUGAGUAAUGCCUAGGAAUCUGCCUGGUAGUGGGGGAUAACGUCCGGACACGGGCGCGAAUACCGCAUACGUCCUGAGGGUGAACGUGGGGGAUCUUCGGACCUCACGCUAUCAGAUGAGCCUAGGUCGGAUUAGCUAGUUGGUGGGGUAAAGGCCUACCAAGGCGACGAUCCGUAACUGGUCUGCGAGGCUGAUCAGGCACACCGGAACUGAGACACGGUCCAGACUCCUACGGGAGGCAGGAGGGGGGAAUAUUGGACAAUGGGCGAAAGCCUGAUCCAGGCAUGCCGCGUGUGUGAAGAAGGUCUUCGGAUUGGAAAGAACCUUUAGUUGGGAGGAAGGGCAGUAAGUUAAUACCUUGCUGUUUUGACGUGACCAACAGAAGAAGCACCGGCUAACUUCGUG
rnacentral:rRNA from 1 species